UACGUGCCAGCAGCCGCGGUAAUACGUAGGUGGCAAGCGUUAUCCGGGAUUUAUUGGGCGUAAAGCGAGCGCAGGCGGUUUGAUAAGUCUGAUGUGAAAGCCUUUGGCUUAACCAAAGAAGUGCAUCGGGAACUGUCAGACUUGAGUGCAGAAGAGGACAGUGGAACUCCAUGUGUAGCGGUGGAAUGCGUAGAUAUAUGGAAGAACACCAGUGGCGAAGGCGGCUGUCUGGUCUGCAACUGACGCUGAGGCUCGAAAGCAUGGGUAGCGAACAGGAUUAGAUACCCUGGUAGUCCAUGCCGUAAACGAUGAGUGCUAGGUGUUGGAGGGUUUCCGCCCUUCAGUGCCGCAGCUAACGCAUUAAGCACUCCGCCUGGGGAGUACGACCGCAAGGUUGAAACUCAAAGGAAUUGACGGGGGCCCGCACAAGCGGUGGAGCAUGUGGUUUAAUUCGAAGCUACGCGAAGAACCUUACCAGGUCUUGACAUCUUGCGCCAACCCUAGAGAUAGGGCGUUUCCUUCGGGAACGCAAUGACAGGUGGUGCAUGGUCGUCGUCAGCUCGUGUCGUGAGAUGUUGGGUUAAGUCCCGCAACGAGCGCAACCCUUGUUACUAGUUGCCAGCAUUCAGUUGGGCACUCUAGUGAGACUGCCGGUGACAAACCGGAGGAAGGUGGGGACGACGUCAGAUCAUCAUGCCCCUUAUGACCUGGGCUACACACGUGCUACAAUGGACGGUACAACGAGUCGCGAACUCGCGAGGGCAAGCUAAUCUCUUAAAACCGUUCUCAGUUCGGACUGCAGGCUGCAACUCGCCUGCACGAAGUCGGAAUCGCUAGUAAUCGCGGAUCAGCAUGCCGCGGUGAAUACGUUCCCGGGCCUUGUACACACCGCCCGUCACACCAUGAGAGUUUGCAACACCCAAAGUCGGUGGGGUAACCCUUCGGGGAGCUAGCCGC
rnacentral:rRNA from 1 species